GACGAACGCUGGCGGCGUGCCUAAUACAUGCAAGUUGAGCGCUGAAGGUUGGUACUUGUACCAACUGGAUGAGCAGCGAACGGGUGAGUAACGCGUGGGGAAUCUGCCUUUGAGCGGGGGACAACAUUUGGAAACGAAUGCUAAUACCGCAUAAAAACUUUAAACACAAGUUUUAAGUUUGAAAGAUGCAAUUGCAUCACUCAAAGAUGAUCCCGCGUUGUAUUAGCUAGUUGGUGAGGUAAAGGCUCACCAAGGCGAUGAUACAUAGCCGACCUGAGAGGGUGAUCGGCCACAUUGGGACUGAGACACGGCCCAAACUCCUACGGGAGGCAGCAGUAGGGAAUCUUCGGCAAUGGACGAAAGUCUGACCGAGCAACGCCGCGUGAAUGAAGAAGGGUUUCGGAUCGUAAAACUCUGUUGGUAGAGAAGAACGUUGGUGAGAGUGGAAAGCUCAUCAAGUGACGGUAACUACACAGAAAGGGACGGCUAACUACGUG
rnacentral:rRNA from 1 species